GUCUUCUUUUAUUAAUAUUAAGUCUGGCCUGCUCACUGAAAGUUUUAAAUAGCCGCGGUAUUUUGACCGUGCAAAGGUAGCAUAAUCAUUAGUUUUUUAAUUAAAGACUGGAAUGAAUGGAUUGACGAGGGGAUAACUGUCUCUGAUUAAUAAAUAAAAUUUAACCUUUGAGUUAAAAGGCUCAAAUUUAGUUUUAGGACGAGAAGACCCUAUAGAGCUUUAUAUAUAUAUAUUAUACAAUAUUAUGUUAAUUUUUUUAUUUAAAUAUUAUUUAUAUUUUGUUGGGGUGACAUGGAGAAUAAUUAAACUCUCUUUUAUUACUUCAUUUAUUGAUGUAUUUAAGAUCCACAAUUAGUGAUAAAAAGUUUAAGUUACCUUAGGGAUAACAGCGUAAUUAUUAUUGAGAGUUCUUAUUGACAUAAUAGAUUGCGACCUCGAUGUUGGAUUAAGAUAAAUAUAUGGUGCAGAAAUCAUAUAAUUAGGUCUGUUCGACCUUUAAAUUCUU
rnacentral:rRNA from 1 species